GAAAACUUCACACAGCAUUCACAAUAAUCAUCUAAACUUAAACAAAACUGACACAAGCUUAUAAUUUCACUAAUCCUAACUAACAAACCCUAACAGCUCUAUCAUCAGUGCCAGCCAAAAACACCAAUUGAACCACAAUGCUGGCCAUUUGAAUUCCUGCUACAGAAGCCAAACCAAAACCUUCUAAACAAUGCCUUGACUCAAGUCCAAAUCAACAUGAAAUAAGACCUAUUGCAUCUGGGCCAUUGGUGCAAGUCAGGACCUCACACACCCUACAAAACUAAGAUGCAAUGCAUGAGCCACAAAUCUGCAGAAAAAUCAUAAGUCAGAAAUGCAGCUACACCAGCCAGGAAAGUAUAAUUAACAGAAUUUAUUUCAAACUAAUAAUAAUAUUCUUUUCAAUGACAAUUUAGCAGCUCCAAUAAACAUUGUUAUUUUUACUCACAAAUCACAUGACAAAAUCAGUAUUUAGCCACAUGUCUAUCACAAAUUCCAGCCCACAAGUUUCAUCAGCAAAUUUAAAUUGCAAAAUCACACGCAUAGCAUGGCUCACAUUACACUGAUUUCAGUCAUAACAGCAAAACACCCAAGCCAAUUAACACUAAUUCAAUCUCCAACUCAAUAUAUUUUUCAGUUUGCAUCUAACUAAUUUUCAAAUCCAAUUCCUAAUCCACCCUCUCAUCACUCUAUUUAAACCACAAUUCUCUCCCUUAAAGUUGGCUCUCGAUUACCUCUCUUUUUUCAAUCUGCAUAUCCGGAUUUCACUCUCCAUCUCAAUUCAUUCAAUCCAUAAUCCCUCACAUUUCCUCUCUCGGAUUCAUUCAAUUUUUCAUCACAAUUCUCUCCCUUCGUCAUUAUAAGAACUCAUUAGAAGCAGCAGAGACGCAUCAAUAUCACAGAGAAAUAGAUUCUUCCCAACAACUCUCAACAAUUCACGUAGCAACUACUCAUCACUCACGCAAUUUAUCUCUACCUCGCAACGGUGAUUCGUCGCACACAAUAGCACAAAGGAAGAAGGGAAAGUCGAUAC
rnacentral:lncRNA from 1 species